AUUCAUGGCUUUUGUCUUAGCUGGAGGCAGCUAGAGUUACUGAAGGCUGAAAGCAGAUGGUAUUGCAAGUUUGGCAGCUAAAAAGAGAGGCACGUAAAGGAUGAUGGUGCUCUGACCCCUCUGGGUUUCCCCAUGCUCCUGCACUCCCAGUGACUGAGAUGGGGAACUGCAAGAAUGGCAGAAUAUGGUGCAAGCAGCUAAAUGGAAAACCAUAAAAACAGCAAAACUGCACCUAACCCGAGAUUAAGGUAGCUGAUUUAACCAGUGGCUACAAGGAGAAGUCAUAAAUGCAGCUCAGGAACUGUGUGCAAUACAUUCCAGAUCUCCUCUGCUUUCAGCUCAGUAGAUUUUCUCCUCUAAAUUGGAACACCUGAAGUACCUCAAGAGCUAUCAAAGGCAACUUUGAGAAGAAAAGCUUGUGUUCUGCAUUCCUAGUGUGCGUAUACAGCUGAGCAGUGCACAGCACUUUGAUGGGCUUUGGUCUGUCUGUGGCAUCUCCUUUGGGAUUACAAAGUUGAUGAUAUGAUGUAAAUUCAAAGAUUAUCUGAGUGGUGUACAAUGAUAUUUGGACAUAUCCUCUGUAUAAAUAGAGAAAUCAAGCCACACAUGAUGAAGAAAAGCAUGUGAGAUUACAACAUUCUGUUAUUCCCAGAUGGAAGAAACAAAAAAAAGCUGUGGUGCCCUUAUCAUAUUCCUUCAAAGAAAGCUACAAAACUGCAUAAG